UCGAGAUUGUAGAAGAAUCAGAUGAAGAAAGCAGGGAAUGUAUGCACCCCAAAGUAUCUGUGGCUGAGAUCAUUUAGCUCCAAGCUCCCAUUACUUGCAAAGCAGUUACAAGGCCAAACAAAGAACAUAGAAACAACCCUCCCCCUACUGGAGGAUUUGUCCCUUACAAGUAGAAACAUAAGUCAUAUUCCUUCAACCUAUCUAAG
rnacentral:lncRNA from 1 species